GGUCAAGUGAUUAAGUGCACACGGUGAAUGCCUUGGCGAUAACAGGCGAUGAAGGACGUGGUAGCCUGCGAAAAGCUACGGAGAGUCGGCAAACAGACAUUGACCCGUAGAUAUCCGAAUGGGGGAACCCACUGCUUAGGCAGUAUCUUUAUCUGAAUACAUAGGGUAAAGAAGCGAACGUAGGGAACUGAAACAUCUAAGUACCUAUAGGAAAAGAAAUCAACCGAGAUUCCGUCAGUAGUGGCGAGCGAAAGCGGAACAGCCUGUAACUUAUAGCAAGCUUAUUAGUAGAAUGGUCUGGAAAGUCCAGCGAUAGAGGGUGAUAGUCCCGUAUACAAAAAUAAGCAUGUGGAACUAAGGUUACGAUAAGUAGGGCGGGACACGAGAAAUCCUGUCUGAAGAUGGGGGGACCAUCCUCCAAGGCUAAAUACUCGUUAUCGACCGAUAGUGAACAAGUACCGUGAGGGAAAGGUGAAAAGAACCCCUGAUAGGGGAGUGAAAUAGAAUCUGAAACCGUGUGCAUACAAGCAGUGGGAGCAUGAUUUAGUCAUGUGACUGCGUACCUUUUGUAUAAUGGGUCAGCGAGUUAUUUUCAGUGGCAAGCCUAACCGAGUAGGGCAGGCAUAGGGAAACCGAGUCUUAAUAGGGCGUUAAGUCGCUGGGAAUAGACCCGAAACUGAGUGAUCUAUCCAUGACCAGGGUGAAGGUGGGGUAAUUCCUACUGGAGGCCCGAACUCACGUCUGUUGAAAAAGACGGAGAUGAGUUGUGGAUAGGGGUGAAAGGCUAAUCAAACUCAGAGAUAGCUGGUUCUCCUCGAAAGCUAUUUAGGUAGCGCCUCAAGUAUCACUCUCGGGGGUAGAGCACUGUUACGGCUAGGGGGUCGUCUAGACUUACCAACCCGUUGCAAACUUCGAAUACCGAGAAGUGCAAGCAUGGGAGACACACGGCGGGUGCUAACGUCCGUCGUGAAGAGGGAAACAACCCAGACCGCCAGCUAAGGUCCCAAAAUAUAGCUCAGUGGAAAACGAUGUGGGAAGGCACAGACAGCCAGGAUGUUGGCUUAGAAGCAGCCAUCAUUUAAAGAAAGCGUAAUAGCUCACUGGUCGAGUCGUCCUGCGCGGAAGAUGUAACGGGGCUCAAGCUAUAUACCGAAGCUGCGGAUUUGCCGAAAGGCAAGUGGUAGAGGAGCGUUCUGUAAGCCUGCGAAGGUGUCUUGAGAAGGAUGCUGGAGGUAUCAGAAGUGCGAAUGCUGACAUGAGUAACGAUAAUGGGAGUGAAAAACUCCCACGCCGAAAGUCUAAGGUUUCCUCGCGCAACGUUAAUCGGCGCAGGGUGAGUCGGCCCCUAAGGCGAGGCAGAAAUGCGUAGUCGAUGGGAAACAGGUUAAUAUUCCUGUACUUCGCUUUAUUGCGAUGGGGGGACGGAGAAGGCUAAACCAGCAAGUGAUUGGUAGUACUUGUUUAAGGUCGUAGGUAGAACAGAUAGGCAAAUCCGUUUGUUUAAUACCGAGAGCUGAUGACGAGUCUUCUAUGAAGACGAAGUGGUUGAUGCCAAGCUUCCAAGAAAAUCCUCUAAGCUUCAGAUAAAGAGAAACCGUACCGUAAUCCGACACAGGUAGACGAGAUGAGAAUUCUAAGGCGCUUGAGAGAACUCGGGUGAAGGAACUAGGCAAAAUAGCACCGUAACUUCGGGAGAAGGUGUACCUUUAUUAUGUGAAGUGCCCGCGCAUGGAGCAGAAAAAGGUCGCAGUGGUCAGGUGGUUGCGACUGUUUAUUAAAAACACAGCACUCUGCAAACACGAAAGUGGACGUAUAGGGUGUGACGCCUGCCCGGUGCCGGAAGGUUAAUUGAUGGGGUUAGCGAAAGCGAAGCUCUUGAUCGAAGCCCCGGUAAACGGCGGCCGUAACUAUAACGGUCCUAAGGUAGCGAAAUUCCUUGUCGGGUAAGUUCCGACCUGCACGAAUGGCGUAACGACAGCCACACUGUCUCCACCCGAGACUCAGUGAAAUUGAAAUUGCUGUGAAGAUGCAGUAUACCCGCGGCUAGACGGAAAGACCCCGUGAACCUUUACUAUAGCUUUACACUGAAUCUUGAACCUGUUUGUGUAGGAUAGGUGGGAGGCUUAGAAGCUAGAACGCCAGUUUUAGUGGAGCCAUCCUUGAAAUACCACCCUGAUAUGUUCGGGAUUCUAACCUAAGUCCAUAAGCUGGAUUGGGGACAAUGUAUGGUGGGUAGUUUGACUGGGGCGGUCUCCUCCAAAAGAGUAACGGAGGAGCACGAAGGUACCCUCAGCGCGGUCGGAAAUCGCGCACAGAGUGCAAUGGCAUAAGGGUGCUUAACUGUGAGACAAACACGUCGAACAGGUACGAAAGUAGGUCAUAGUGAUCCGGUGGUUCUGUAUGGAAGGGCCAUCGCUCAACGGAUAAAAGGUACUCCGGGGAUAACAGGCUGAUUCCGCCCAAGAGUUCACAUCGACGGCGGAGUUUGGCACCUCGAUGUCGGCUCAUCACAUCCUGGGGCUGUAGUCGGUCCCAAGGGUAUGGCUGUUCGCCAUUUAAAGUGGUACGCGAGCUGGGUUUAGAACGUCGUGAGACAGUUCGGUCCCUAUCUACCGUGGGCGUUGGAAAUUUGAGAAUGAGUUGCUCCUAGUACGAGAGGACCGGAGUGAACGUACCUCUGGUGUUCCAGUUGUCAUGCCAAUGGCAUUGCUGGGUAGCUAUGUACGGACGGGAUAACCGCUGAAGGCAUCUAAGCGGGAAGCCUCCUUCAAGAUAAGAUUUCCCGAGAGUUUAACUCUCCUCAAGGUCCGUUGAAGACUACAACGUUGAUAGGCUGGGUGUGGAAGUGCAGUAAUGCAUGUAGCUAACCAGUACUAAUUGACCGUGAGGCUUGACCAU
rfam:Beggiatoa alba B18LD genomic scaffold Begalscaffold_2, whole genome shotgun sequence.